GAUGAACGCUGGCGGCGUGCCUAAUACAUGCAAGUCGAGCGAACGGACGAGAAGCUUGCUUCUCUGAUGUUAGCGGCGGACGGGUGAGUAACACGUGGAUAACCUACCUAUAAGACUGGGAUAACUUCGGGAAACCGGAGCUAAUACCGGAUGAUAUUUUGAACCGCAUGGUUCAAAAGUGAAAGACGGUCUUGCUGUCACUUAUAGAUGGACCCGCGCUGCAUUAGCUAGUUGGUAAGGUAACGGCUUACCAAGGCAACGAUGCAUAGCCGACCUGAGAGGGUGAUCGGCCACACUGGAACUGAGACACGGUCCAGACUCCUACGGGAGGCAGCAGUAGGGAAUCUUCCGCAAUGGGCGAAAGCCUGACGGAGCAACGCCGCGUGAGUGAUGAAGGUCUUCGGAUCGUAAAACUCUGUUAUUAGGGAAGAACAUAUGUGUAAGUAACUGUGCACAUCUUGACGGUACCUAAUCAGAAAGCCACGGCUAACUACGUGCCAGCAGCUGCGGUAAUACGUAGGUGGCAAGCGUUAUCCGGAAUUAUUGGGCGUAAAGCGCGCGUAGGCGGUUUUUUAGUCUGAUGUGAAAGCCCACGGCUCAACCGUGGAGGGUCAUUGGAAACUGGAAAACUUGAGUGCAGAAGAGGAAAGUGGAAUUCCAUGUGUAGCGGUGAAAUGCGCAGAGAUAUGGAGGAACACCAGUGGCGAAGGCGACUUUCUGGUCUGUAACUGACGCUGAUGUGCGAAAGCGUGGGGAUCAAACAGGAUUAGAUACCCUGGUAGUCCACGCCGUAAACGAUGAGUGCUAAGUGUUAGGGGGUUUCCGCCCCUUAGUGCUGCAGCUAACGCAUUAAGCACUCCGCCUGGGGAGUACGACCGCAAGGUUGAAACUCAAAGGAAUUGACGGGGACCCGCACAAGCGGUGGAGCAUGUGGUUUAAUUCGAAGCAACGCGAAGAACCUUACCAAAUCUUGACAUCCUUUGACAACUCUAGAGAUAGAGCCUUCCCCUUCGGGGGACAAAGUGACAGGUGGUGCAUGGUUGUCGUCAGCUCGUGUCGUGAGAUGUUGGGUUAAGUCCCGCAACGAGCGCAACCCUUAAGCUUAGUUGCCAUCAUUAAGUUGGGCACUCUAAGUUGACUGCCGGUGACAAACCGGAGGAAGGUGGGGAUGACGUCAAAUCAUCAUGCCCCUUAUGAUUUGGGCUACACACGUGCUACAAUGGACAAUACAAAGGGCAGCGAAACCGCGAGGUCAAGCAAAUCCCAUAAAGUUGUUCUCAGUUCGGAUUGUAGUCUGCAACUCGACUACAUGAAGCUGGAAUCGCUAGUAAUCGUAGAUCAGCAUGCUACGGUGAAUACGUUCCCGGGUCU
rnacentral:rRNA from 1 species